rnacentral:rRNA from 1 species
AUGUGCAUCCCGAAGGAAAGAGGGGGUAUGGGGUUUCGAGAUGUCCAGAGUUUUAACUUAGCCAUGCUGGCCAAGCAGUGUUGGGGGCUGAUUGAGCAUAAUGAGUCCCUGUGUGCAAGGGUAUUAAGAGCGAGAUACUACCCCACUGGCGACAUUUUGAAUUGUGAGCUGAAGAAGGGUUCCUCUUAUAUUUGGAGGAGCAUUUGGGCGGGUAUACAAACAUUUAAAGAAGGAUGCAUUUGGAGGGUUGGCGAUGGUGCAAAAAUUAAUAUCUGGACUGACUGUUGGAUUCCCAACAGUUUUUCAAGGAAGGUGGUCACUGUCCGGGGUAACCAAGUGCUCACAAAAGUAAUUGAACUCAUAGACCCGAUUACAGGUGAAUGGGAUGAGGAGCUGAUCCGUCAAAUUUUUUGGCACAUCGAUGCAGAACGCAUCCUACAGAUCCCCUUGCACCAACAAGUAACAGAAGAUUAUGUUGCUUGGCAUCUGACCAGGAGCGGAAUUUUUUCAGUCAGAUCAGCUUACUACAAAUAG